rnacentral:rRNA from 1 species
GCUUAACACAUGCAAGUCGAGCGGAUGAAGGUAGCUUGCUACUGGAUUCAGCGGCGGACGGGUGAGUAAUGCUUAGGAAUCUGCCUAUUAGUGGGGGACAACGUUCCGAAAGGNGCGCUAAUACCGCAUACGUCCUACGGGAGAAAGCAGGGGACCUUNGGGCCUUGCGCUAAUAGAUGAGCCUAAGUCGGAUUAGCUAGUUGGUAGGGUAAAGGCCUACCAAGGCGACGAUCUGUAGCGGGUCUGAGAGGAUGAUCCGCCACACUGGGACUGAGACACGGCCCAGACUCCUACGGGAGGCAGCAGUGGGGAAUAUUGGACAAUGGGGGGAACCCUGAUCCAGCCAUGCCGCGUGUGUGAAGAAGGCCUUUUGGUUGUAAAGCACUUUAAGCGAGGAGGAGGCUACCUAGAUUAAUACUUUAGGAUAGUGGACGUUACUCGCAGAAUAAGCACCGGCUAACUCUGUGCCAGCAGCCGCGGUAAUACAGAGGGUGCGAGCGUUAAUCGGAUUUACUGGGCGUAAAGCGUGCGUAGGCGGCCAAUUAAGUCAAAUGUGAAAUCCCCGAGCUUAACUUGGGAAUUGCAUUCGAUACUGGUUGGCUAGAGUAUGGGAGAGGAUGGUAGAAUUCCAGGUGUAGCGGUGAAAUGCGUAGAGAUCUGGAGGAAUACCGAUGGCGAAGGCAGCCAUCUGGCCUAAUACUGACGCUGAGGUACGAAAGCAUGGGGAGCAAACAGGAUUAGAUACCCUGGUAGUCCAUGCCGUAAACGAUGUCUACUAGCCGUUGGGGCCCUUGAGGCUUUAGUGGCGCAGCUAACGCGAUAAGUAGACCGCCUGGGGAGUACGGUCGCAAGACUAA